rnacentral:ncRNA from 2 species
ACUAAAUAUCCAGAGUGGAGAUAGCCCCGUCAUUCGACAGGGUAAGGGUCUUGGCCCGAUAACCUCCCACCAACCGAGCCAGUGCUACGGUGGUUCCAACCCCAUAGGGAAAGAUGUGCUCCAACGAAAGUUCGGAGAAAAAAAGAGGCUUCU